AACUUAAGCAUAUCAAUAAGCGGAGGAAAAGAAACCAACAGGGAUUGCCCCAGUAACGGCGAGUGAAGCGGCAACAGCUCAAAUUUGAAAUCUGGCCCCCCCGGGCCCGAGUUGUAAUUUGCAGAGGAUGCUUUUGGCAAGGCGCCGCCCGAGUUCCCUGGAACGGGACGCCGCAGAGGGUGAGAGCCCCGUCUGGCUGGACGCCGAGCCUUCGUAAAGCUCCUUCGACGAGUCGAGUAGUUUGGGAAUGCUGCUCAAAAUGGGAGGUAUAUGUCUUCUAAAGCUAAAUACCGGCCAGAGACCGAUAGCGCACAAGUAGAGUGAUCGAAAGAUGAAAAGCACUUUGAAAAGAGGGUUAAACAGUACGUGAAAUUGUUGAAAGGGAAGCGCUCGUGACCAGACUUGAGCUUGGGGGAUCAUCCGGCGUUCUCGCCGGUGCACUUCCCCUCGCCCAGGCCAGCAUCAGUUCGCGCCGGGGGACAAAAGCUUCGGGAAUGUGGCUCCUCCGGGAGUGUUAUAGCCCGUCGCACAAUACCCUGGGGCGGACUGAGGUUCGCGCAUCUGCAAGGAUGCUGGCGUAAUGGUCACCAGCGACCCGUCUUGAAACACGGACCAAGGAGUCGUCUUCGUAUGCGAGUGUUCGGGUGUCAAACCCCUACGCGUAAUGAAAGUGAACGCAGGUGAGAGCUUCGGCGCAUCAUCGACCGAUCCUGAUGUUCUCGGAUGGAUUUGAGUAAGAGCAUACGGGGCCGGACCCGAAAGAAGGUGAACUAUGCCUGUAUAGGGUGAAGCCAGAGGAAACUCUGGUGGAGGCUCGCAGCGGUUCUGACGUGCAAAUCGAUCGUCAAAUAUGGGCAUGGGGGCGAAAGACUAAUCGAACCUUCUAGUAGCUGGUUUCCGCCGAAGUU
rnacentral:rRNA from 1 species